rnacentral:rRNA from 1 species
AUUGAACGCUGGCGGCAGGCCUAACACAUGCAAGUCGAGCGGAGCGGCGGACGGGUGAGUGAUGCCUAGGAAUCGGCCUGGUAGUGGGGGAUAACGUUAGGUAACGGGCGCUAUUACCGCAUCCUAUCAGCUGAGCCUAGGUCGGAUUAGCUAGUUGGUGGGGUAAAGGCCUACCAAGGCGACGAUCCGUAACUGGGUUGGGAGGAUGAUCAUUCCCACUGUAACUGAGACACGGUCCAGACUCCUACGGGAGGCAGCAGUGGGGAAUAUUGGACAAUGGGCGAAAGCCUGAUGCAGCCAUGCCGCGUGUGUGAAGAAGGCCUUCGGAUUGUAAAGCACUUUAAGUUGGGAGGCGUGACCAACAGAAGAAGCACCGGCUAACUUCGUGCCAGCAGCCGCGGUAAUUC